ACUCAUUUUUUCCCCACACACUCCUUUUUGACCAAUUUUCCCACCCCACAUCCCAUUUUGGGGCUCCUUUUGGCCAAUUCUGGGUCUCCUUUCCACCCAUUUUCCCCCCACACACUCCUUUUUGACCCAAUUUUUCCCCCCCACAUCCCAUUUUGGGGCUCCUUUCCACUCAUUUUGGGGCCCCUUUUCACCCAUUUUCCCCCACCACUCUCCUUUUUGACCCAAUUUUUCCCCACACAUCCCAUUUUGGGGCUCCUUUCCACCCAUUUUGGGGCCCCUUUUGACCCACUUUUCCCCACCACUCUCCUUUUUGACCCAUUUUUCCCACUGCACGUCCCAUUCUGGGGCUCCUUUCCAUCCAUUUUUCCCCCCACACACUACUUUUUGACCCAAUUUUUCCCCCCACA
rnacentral:lncRNA from 1 species